AAAAAAAUCUUUUCAUCCAGAAUGAUGUUUGAAGUUCUUUUCGAUAAUUUUUUUGAAAAAUUCAUAAAUAAUUUUAGGGGUAGUUCACUCCGCACCGGGUUCCACCUAUAUGCCUACAUAGGCAGGUAGAUUUUGCUACGUUUGGAUAUAUAUGAUGCCCCGCGCUGUUUUUGACUGCUUCGCACGCGUACUGUAUAUAUACGAUAUGUACAGGUAUACGUGCACGUGUACAUAGAUUCACUUCGUGACAUGACGUUACGUAAUGAACAGGUAGUCGUACGUAACACAACUCGUUUGCGCGAUAUUGUUAAAGGCUCGAGCUGUCAGACGCGGGCUCGAACGUGCGUUUUUGUUUCCAAAUACACAGACACCCGCUGACUGAACAAGAAAAAUUAAUAAACUUCGAUUGCGAUUCCGGGAGUCAUUUAUACGAUUAUCGUACGAUUAUUGGUUUAUUGGUACCGUCCAGCCGUGUACUCCGCGGGGCUUUAAACUUUGUACUUUCGAUGACGAAAGUGCUCCUUGAAACUAGUGGCGACACGAUGGUUCCCGUUAAGGAAAUUAGACGUUCGCCGUUUAAUUAAAUCUUAACGAAGGCCCAACCGAGGCUUUCUUACCCGGAGCUGCGCCGAAGCAUACCGUAUGCGGUACGUUUCUAAAACGCCGGGCGAUAAAGCUGGUGAAAUAUUUGUUGCGGUCUGCUCGCCGCAGCAACCCGCGUUUCUUCCUCGGCAGCUACCACCGCCCGCGCGGAGAUCGGGCUUUGGAGAACGGUGGAGGUUCUGUGGUGAAGGUAGGUAUGUUGUACGGUACACGAGUACGUAUAUAAUAUACGUUCUGUGCAGAGACCGUGCUGGAGUUUCACCGACAUUGCGGUGUGGAGAGAGAGAGGACCGAGCUCUCUGACUCUGAAUCUGACUACGCCGCUGCCGCUGCCGCUGCCGCUGCUGGUGUUACUGCCGUUGCCGCUGCGUAUGGUGAAACGUUCGAGGAACGUUGAACAGUGACGGAAAGAGGACGGCCACGCGACCGACGGAGAAAUAUUAUUGGGAACGUGGGAGAGAGACGGAGGAAUAAACUUUUAUAUCCACCGCCUUACAGCUCCAGCUCUAAACAUACCCGGUGGAACAAAACGUUAUACGUAUACUCGUACCGUACAACGUCUGUACGUAUAUGCAUUCAGUGAGCGUGUUUUUGCGAAAGGAAAUAAAAAAAAAACCCAACUGCGUCAUUGGAAUCUUUUUUAAACGCCAUGUCGGUCUUCUUUUUGUUCAUUUAUUAUUUUCUUAUAUUCUCCAGGAUGUCUAGUUAUCUUUUAUUCGCCAAUACCUGCAGGAAAACCUACAUUCUCUUGUCGUCGAUGAUGAUGAUGAUGAUGAUGAUGAUGAUGAUGAUGAUGAUGAUGAUAAUUUUAUAUCGAUGCUGGGUGAGAGGAGCUCGGGGGAACCGAUGCGCUACUUUUCUCCGGAUGACGGUAGGGCGUAGGGCUAAACAAAAUUUUUCACGCGAAUCCAGAAGACAAUCAUUCGGGGUGAUUUUCUUUCACACCGAUGACGAUGUUUCAUAAUCCACCGAGUAUAUCGUGGACAAGGACGGUCUUUGGGACGCCAUGGUCUGCGAGAAGGACAGACUGUCAACUCCGUAAGCUGACAAGGUUGCAAGGUCAUCGUUCCGGGAGUGUGAUAAGAACCUAUUGCAGAAUGCAGGCAUCGGGCCAUAAAAAAAGACGGGGACUUUUUUGCAUGACCAUACCCGACGUUUCUACGACUCUGGGAAGAGUAUCUGGCAGAGAUGGACGAAUGACGGCUAAUCGCAUGCGGGAAUACCGGAGAACGGAAAUCGCGAUCGUAAGAGAGACCAGAGCAAUCGGUGGUAGAUCACCGAGUGUACAAAAAAUGUUGCACAUACGGAGGAAGGGGUAAAAAUUUGAGGCGAGGUGGUCUCCGAGGUUGACGGCUAAUCUAUGCCUCGGUAUACGCUGUAUUGUAGCAACGUCGCAAGUGUGUGGAUAUAUAUAUAUAUAUAUAUAUAUAUAUAUAUAUAUAUAUAUAUAUAUAUAUAUAUAUGUAUCUAUAUAGAUGUACAAAGUGGAAGCUGGGCUGACUGGUUACUUUCUAAAUUUAGGCGUCCAUACAGUCAGCAGGUGAUGAACAUUUUAGGAAGUUGGCCUACGAUGGCUUUCGUCGAAUAAAAAGUUCUCGUCAAACUUAUUCCUUAUUUUUCCCCCCCCCCGCGACGAUACGAAUAUCGACUCGGCUUAUUGUACGUAUACAGUGGUGUACGCGUGAGAUGGUCACGCGAUCGACGAAUACUUCCUUGUAUUCUUCGCAUUCCCAUAACUUCCGCAAGUAAUCUUACCGAGCUUUUUUUCACUCUACCCCGAAAGCUCCGACGCAACAACGAUCCCGCGUACACUGCACGAAAAGACGACGAACAUUACCGCGCUAAACACGUCGAGGAAUAGUUCCUGGCGCCGACCGACGAGCGUGAGGAGCGAAGUAGGUUUUAGGUCGAUCGGGCCAACGGUGCGGCCGCGUGUGCGUUGUGCGCAACGGUUCCAAUUUUCUACGUAGUAUCGGGUCUCGGUACCAUUUUUUUAGGCGUCUGCCCGCAUCCGACCGGUAUUUCAUACUCUUCAAAAUCGAUCUUCCCUUCGUCCCAUGCACAGGAGUGUCGAGGAUGAAUUUCCUUACUGUUCCUUGGUCGGUCGUAUGCGCACAGCAUACGAAAUACCGACGAAAUACAUGUAAAUCGCGCGUCCCGAAGUUAAGCUCGUGGUGCAAUCUGAACGGUAUAGGUAUAAUACGCAUGGGGUUAUCAGGCAGGCCAACUAACUACGUCAUAUCGCACUGUAUUGAAAAAAAGUGUACGUCCGCUACGACCGCGUAUAUAUUAUACGCUUCAAGUUUCAAUCCAGAAAUUUCCCCGAAGGCGAUUCCGUUCUGAUUUUGAGAACAAAGAAAAAAAAAAAAAAAACAACAACAACAAUUGAACGAAUAAAAAAUUAACGCUUCCGCAUUGUUCCAAUAAUUCCCAAACAAUAAUCAUUCUCGGUAUCGAGAUCAUGAUUGGCGGAUGGAUUUUCGUCAGGGCGAUUGAAACGAGUCUGUUUACUUAAAAGUUGGAACCAAUAGCAGAAGAGGGUGAAUUAUCACGGACCUUUGCGACCGUAAUGUGAGAAAAUUGUUGAUUUCUGCAUUAAAAGGUUGCGUGUUCAUUUCUCUUCUUUCUAUACAGAUACACGGUACUACAUACCGGUACAACUUUUGUUGUAAACAUUUCUCAAUUUCUCUAAUACGGCUGGUAGCGGGUGUGUAAGGUAUAUGCCAAACUGCCGUGAGUACAAGGGUGAAAAACUUUGAAUGGGACGCUCUUCAUGCGCUCGCAUAUACACAACGGAUCAAGUCUUCUAUACCUGUGAUAUACAUAUAUACAUAUAUCCAUAGCAAAAUAGAAUACGCGAGGGUAGGUCACGGUAGUUUGUGUCUGUGCACGCGUACGACUAUUCCUACUCACGCAUUAAUACCGUGACAAAUCAAGCACGCAUACAACACCAGGGAUGUUUCUAUCGGAGGCGCUACGUCCAGAGAAAGAUGAAAACAAGAAGAAGAUGUGUACCAAUCAUGCCGAUAACCACGGUGGGUAGACUCC